GGCCAUGUGUGUGUGUGUGUGUGUGUGUGUGUGUGUGUGUGUGUGUGUGUGUGUGUGAGCCAUGGUCACUGCUGACCCUCGCUGGCCUGACGCUCUG
rnacentral:miRNA from 1 species